UGGAAAACUGCAAGCACGGCAGAUGCCAAAACCCCUUUCCUGUGCCUGAAAGAGAACUUCUGGAGAUUUUCCAAAUGCAGACCAAGAGGGAUUGAGCUCUCCUCUACCCUGCCUGGCCCAGAAGUUCCAUUUCCUACCUCCUUCUAGCAGGGGAGCAGGGGCCUUCCUUGGUGGCCCCCAGGAUGGCCCUAUCUCAGAAAGACACAACCACGACUUCUCUGUAUAAUAGACACCACCACACAGGCUUUCUGCCAGCAUUGAGGAGAAACAGGAGCUCUUCUCCAGCCAGGUGAACAUGGCCUCGCUUGGCAAGCUUGCAGUCCUACAUUCCGGUAGGUUACAGGCUGCUUCCAGUAACGCAGGGAAGCUGGGGAAGGAUGAGUUGGGACAUUUUAUUAUGGUGGACUAUCUGAGUGGAAAUGGAUA
rnacentral:lncRNA from 1 species